GCAUAUUGCAGGUUUGUGCGUGAAUCUAAUAUAUAAAAUUCGCCAAUUUCUAUCUAUUGGAUCGUGUUAGAUUCACGCACAAACCCGUAAUCUGCCU
rfam:Jatropha curcas cultivar GZQX0401 scaffold392_22, whole genome shotgun sequence.